rnacentral:rRNA from 1 species
GACGAACGCUGGCGGCGUGCUUAACACAUGCAAGUCGAACGGAAAGGCCCUGCUUUUGUGGGGUGCUCGAGUGGCGAACGGGUGAGUAACACGUGAGUAACCUGCCCUUGACUUUGGGAUAACUUCAGGAAACUGGGGCUAAUACCGGAUAGGAGCUCCUGCUGCAUGGUGGGGGUUGGAAAGUUUCGGCGGUUGGGGAUGGACUCGCGGCUUAUCAGCUUGUUGGUGGGGUUGUGGCUUACCAAGGCUUUGACGGGUAGCCGGCCUGAGAGGGUGACCGGCCACAUUGGGACUGAGAUACGGCCCAGACUCAUACGGGAGGCAGCAGUGGGGAAUAUUGCACAAUGGGCGGAAGCCUGAUGCAGCAACGCCGCGUGCGGGAUGACGGCCUUCGGGUUGUAAACCGCUUUCGCCUGUGACGAAGCGUGAGUGACGGUAAUGGGUAAGAAGCACCGGCUAACUACGUG